UUGGGGUCCACUUCGGUGGCGCGCACACAGGUGCUGCAUGGCUGUCGUCAGCUCGUGUCGUGAGAUGUUGGGUUAAGUCCCGCAACGAGCGCAACCCACGUCCUUAGUUGCCAUCAUUCAGUUGGGCACUCUAGGGAGACUGCCGGUGAUAAGCCGCGAGGAAGGUGUGGAUGACGUCAAGUCCUCAUGGCCCUUACGGGAUGGGCUACACACGUGCUACAAUGGCGGUGACAGUGGGACGNNAAGGAGCGAUCUGGAGCAAAUCCCCAAAAGCCGUCUCAGUUCGGAUUGCACUCUGCACCUUGGGUGC
rnacentral:rRNA from 1 species